rnacentral:lncRNA from 1 species
AAGCCUCAACAACCAAAGAAAAAUAACGUUGAUGACAGACUGUAAACCGCCAUCUCUCUCUCUUUCCUUUUGUGUUUUUCUCUGAAGUCUUGAAUUUUCUAACACAACAAAAUGUUCCGUUAAAAGUAUCUUAAUCCAUUUUUUAAGAUAUCGUAAUCCAUAUAUUUUUUAAUAUACAUUCUUUGCGUAACAUUUCCAUUACUCCAAUUAUUCUCCCUCCAAGUUUAAAGAAAAAUACUGAACCGAAUAAAAGUACUCGCUUUUAAAAUCUCACCGAAU